rnacentral:lncRNA from 1 species
UGGACUUCAACCUUACAUUCAUGACAUAGUGUCAGUUCUUGAGUUGGGCACUUAUCGAGAAGUCCUGAAGCGAGCCCAGACUAUUUCUUACCAAAGAACUCAAAGCGUUGGAAAUCCUUACCAAGUUCAAAACUUUUCAGGUAAGAGGAAGUGGAAUUUUGAGAGACAGAAUACCGGUAAAGGAAAAGGGAAUAAUGUAUCAAAGAAAGGAAGAACGGAUAUAGCAGGAGUUAGUGGUGAAAGGCGUUGUCCUAAGUGUGAUAGACUUCACAAAGGAGAAUGUUUAUUGGGUAAAAAUGUUUGUUUCAAAUGUGGGAAAUCAGGACAUUUCGUUAAAGAAUGUCCUCAGAAUCAGGCACAGAAGGCUGGAGAUGAUAAGAAAGGAAAAGCAAGAGUUUUC